CGGCAGGGUCGAUUUCCGCGCUUAGACACCCAGGGUCGUUACAAUACCAUCACUAAAAUCAGCAUUAUAUACCAUCACUAAAAUCAGCAUAAUAUACCAUCACUAAAAUCAGCCUAAUCAUUGUCACCAUCAUGAUAGUCAUAAUAAACGUCAUCAUCUUCAUAACUUCAAGGUUAUUUAGUUACACGUUCCUUUCUUUAGGCUAUACUGUAGUUGAGAAGUGGGUACAGUGUCUCUCAGGCAGUACAAUAAAGGCCUUGUUUAGUGUCUGUCUCCUCCUAACAGCAGCAACACUGGUGGUUACUGGUGAAGCUGGUUGUUAAGUGUCUGUCUCCUCCUAACAGCAGCAGCACUGGUGGUUACUGGUGAAGCUGGUUGUUUAGUGUCUGUCUCCUCCUAACAGCAGCAUCACUGGUGGUUACUGGUGAAGCUGCUGGUUGUUAAGUGUCUGUCUCCUCCUAACAGCAGCAGCACUGGUGGUUACUGGUGAAGCUGGUUGUUAAGUGUCUGUCUCCUAACAGCAGCAGCACUGGUGGUUACUGGUGAAGCUGGUUGUUAACUGUCUGUCUCCUCCUAACAGCAGCAGCACUGGUGGUUACUGGUGAAGCUGGUUGUUAAGUGUCUGUCUCCACCUAACAGCAGCAUCACUGGUGGUUACUGGUGAAGCUGGUUGUUAAUAAGUGUCUGUCUCCUCCUAGCAGCAGCAUCACUGGUGGUUACUGGUGAAGCUGGUUGUUAAUAACUGUCUGUCUCCUCCUAACAGCAGCAUCACUGGUGGUUACUGGUGAAGCUAGUUGUUAAUAAGUGUCUGUCUCCUCCUAGCAGCAGCAUCACUGGUGGUUACUGGUGAAGCUGGUUGUUAAUAAGUGUCUGUCUCCUCCUAGCAGCAGCAUCACUGGUGGUUACUGGUGAAGCUGGUUGUUAAGUGGAGCUGGUGGUUACUGGUGAAGCUGGUUGUUAAGUGGAGCUGGUGGUUACUGGUGAAGCUGGUUGUUAAGUGGAGCUGGUGGUUACUGGUGACAGUGGUUUUUAUUGGAAGUGUGAAAGAGAGGCCACUCCACACAGGGACAGGGAGGGGCUCCACAUCUGUCUUCCCCUGUCUCAGGACCUGCUGCACACACACGCACACACACACACACACACACACACACACACACACACACACACACACACACACACACACACACACACACACACACACACACACACACACACACACACACACACACACACACACACACAGUUCCUGUUACCUCUGCCACAGAACGUCCUCUGAAGUGUGCGUGCGUGCGUG
ensembl:lncRNA